AUGUACAUGCUUACAACAUUAAUGCGGUGUAUCCGAUUAGAAAUACGUAGUUAAGAAUGCUUGGGAUAGAGUAGUACUAGGAUGGGUGACCUCUCAGAAAGUCAUAGUGUUUUACAUG
rnacentral:rRNA from 1 species